CUCUGUUUCUCUCUCUCUCUCUGCAAGAGAGCUGAAGUCUGACGCGCUUCUCGUUCUUUCAUUUUUUUCUCCUCUUUCCUCCCUUUUGGCAGCUUCUCCCCGACACGGUUGGUCGACCGCUCCAGAAAAUAACAGCAAGAGACGAAAUAGUAGACGAAAACCUCACCCACCGAACAGGCGGCCGCAAAAAAAUUCCCGUCUGAACUUUUCUUUUGCCUUCCUGCGGUGCCUCGCUCUAGCAGCGGCAACGAUGCCCGAGUUUCUUGAGCAGCUGCAGCAGCUGGCAAGUGUGUAUGCCAUCUGCGGCAAUACUGUCUCCGUGAUGGCGGGGAUGAGCGACACAGCAGAGGAGCUGUCAUUCCGUUCCUACGACAGUUCAGAAGACGCCUCCUACAUCUGCAACCUGAACGAGAAGGCCCUUCACACAGCGAAGGCCUCGCUCUGCGACAAUGCCGAUUGGAGCAGCUUCUUUCGCGAGGUUCAGCUGGCAUUCAACUCGGGUAAAGUAGCCGUGCAGCCUGGGAAUGCUCAUCGAGCCGCCGGUACUGCCGCCGCGCCAGUUUCCGCCGACUCCAAAGGCCUAGCAUGCUCGAUGGAGGUGCAUUGCCUGUCGGGGUCAGGGGAAAAGCGUGCCACCUUCGUGCUUGAGCGAACCACGGAGGACCAGCAGAAGUAUAUUCUCGAGAGCAUGCUGCAGGCGCAUCACAUGUAUAAUCACCCGAAGGAGUACGAGCAGAAGCUGCUCCACAUCAUGGAAGCCAAGGAGAUAGCGUGCACGAAGCGCGAGGCACUUGAUCGUGAGCUGGUCGCGCUGAACGAUAAUCUGACACGCAACAAACACAAGCAGAAGAUAAACAACGAGCGCAAAGAGGAGCUUCUAAAGAGCCUCGGCGGUUACAGCACAGAGAACACGGGAAAUCCCUGGCGAGCGAUCCAGGAACAGCAGCAGAGGGCAGCUGGCGAGAACAACAAGUCUCGGCUUCCGAGCCCGCUCGGGAACCGCACCUGCAAGGACUUUGAUCUUGUCCUGUUUCGCAUGAUCAAGAGUCGGUGGCUGUCACCGGAGCAGUGCGACGCAUGCUCGCCCGCGAAUCGCGUCGUGCAGCCGUUCUCCAAGGAGGACCUAGCGAUCCAGGUGAGCCAACUCUCAGGUAGCCGAGCUGCGAUAUGGAAGGCGCUGGACUCCAUCGACUCAUGGAGCUACCGCGUGUUUGAUGUCCAGGCGGCUAUGAGCGGUGACGACUACCUCUCGCUCUCGACACAGACGCACGGCGGGUCUCUUCUGGUAACCAUGUACGCACUGCUGUGCAUGCACGAUUUCCUGCAAAAAUUCCAGAUCGACGAGCAGAUUGCGCUCAACUGGAUCAGCGCAGUGGAGGCGAGCUACCAUGGAAACCCGUAUCACAACUCGAUGCACGCCGCGGAUGUGCUGCAGAUUACGGACUUCAUCAUCACACGGGGAGGGUUGGCGAAGCGGUGCGACCUAAGCGACAUCCAGGUCUUCUCUGCCUUGCUGGCUGCUUCGAUCCAUGACUUCGACCACCCUGGCAUCAACAAUAACUUCCACAUCAAGACAGGCAGCUACCUUGCUACGCUGUACAACGAUCGCAGUGUCCUGGAAAAUCUGCACGUGAGCAGCGUUUUCGAGCUCAUGAAGAACCCAGCCUUCAACAUCCUAGCAAGCUUCAGUGAUGAGCAGCGUCAUGAGGUCCGCGAGACGAUGAUAGAGAUGGUGCUGGCGACAGACAUGGGCUCUCACGGAAAGUACGUGGCGAAUCUGAAGGGCAAGAUGCAGGAGCACUCUAGUUUCACCCAGACCAGCGAGCAGAAUCUCUGCCUCGCGAUUGCUCUGAAAAUGGCCGACAUUUCAAACUGCGGGCGCCCGCUUGACAUUUACCUGCGCUGGGGCGCGAAGGUGUCGGACGAGUUCUACCAGCAGGGCGACCGUGAGCGCAACCUGGGCCUCGAAUGCAGUCCCUUCAUGGAUCGCCUUCAGCCGAGCCUUGCGAAGAGCCAGAUUGCCUUCAUGAACUACAUCAUCACUCCCUUCUUUGAGCAAGUGGCCGAGCUUCUGCCUGAUAUGCGCUUCGCGGUGGGUUUGGUGGAGGAAAACAAAGCGUACUGGGCCAACCACGACGACUCGUAGAGAGAUCCCACCCACCGCCUUUUGUGGCGCACCUGUUUCCUCACCGCCCCCCUUUUUCGUGGUGACACGCUCUUUGUGGAGACACACACACACACACGCACAGACAGACACAGUCUUCGUUCUAUCUAGCGUCACUUCGGUUCUCUUCAUCGGAAGCGGGACAAGGAUGUACAUAUUCGUUUAUUUCUCUUGUCGCAGCUCCCACCUUCACGACCUCCCUCGUUGCCUCUCCUUGCGAUGUUAUAUUAUUAUUUUUGUUGUUCUCGCCGAUUAUUUUUUCCACGCUGAUGGGAGGGAAUAAAAGGCGGAGGACAAGGGGGAGAGGGGUUGAAGGAAAAGGAGUAGCACCAACAAGAACCCUCACUCGAUUUCUUUUCCUCCUUUUCGUUCCGUAUCCGCUCAGUCUCCUUAAUUUUUUUGUGGUUUGAAUUUGGUGAGUUGUCCUAUUGAACCGCGAACACUUGCGAUCCCUCUGGUGGCUGUUGAUACGUGCGUGAUGAGCUCCACGCUUCUCGCUUCCUUCCCACUUUCUCGUCUUCUCACCCUCUGUUCUUCACCUCACAUGUGCAUUUGGCGUGUGUGCACGUAUGCGUAACGAGCCUGUCACACACGCUUCUUAGCCUCUCUCAUGUUUUUGUUUGCGCUUUCCCUUCAUGCCAACCUCCGUGCUUUUUUCUAUUUUUACGCUUGCUUUCAAUCCUGUUUGUGCUUCCGCCGCCGUUUUUAUUUCUCCCCUCCUCAGUGGUUGUUUGUGGUGUUACCUGAAUUGCCGUUUUGCACAUAUGCGGGCUUCCCCUUGACGAGGUUUACCUCUCUCUUCCCUUCCCUGGGUUUGUCGCAGGCCGCCCUGAUUCCCUCCCUUCCCCCCUCCCCUCCCGAUCCUUUGGUCUCCCUUGUGUACAAGAGAGAGGGCACCGUCGACCUCCUUCGCUUCUCUUUGUUUUCUUCGCCUCUUCGAUGAUGCGCUUAGUUUGACUGACGCAGUUCAGCGGGUAGAGUUUACAUGCUUUUACCUUUUUCGCACUUUCUUUUGACGAUUACGGCUCUACGCGGCUUACGUAUGGCGGCGAAAAGCCACUACUCUGUGAAAAAAAAACAAGAAAAGGCGUUGCCAAUGCGAAAGGGUGCGCUACUGGAGAUGAAGAUGAGCGUUGGUGCCAUCUUCGUUGGUGCUUCCCAUCGCUGAGUCCAUGCAUUGCGACUUUAGGCCUUAUCAAGGUCUGGCUGAUACUUCUCCACAAGAAUUUUGUCACUGCCGUGUGAACUCGGCAGCCAGGCUAUGGUUCCCAUCUCUUGCUUCUGGAGCAUAGCGUACCCCCCUUUGCAUCCUUUUCUUCUCGAGCCCAACGGCUCUUCUCCCUUUCUCGCCUCUUCUCUUCCACUGCCCGCCUUCGUCGACGUUUCUCGGUUUCACUCCACUCCCCUUUUCUCUGCACGGAGGAGAAG
rnacentral:misc_RNA from 1 species